CCAAAAGAUAAACUUAAUUGUUUUUGGUUUUGUUUUUCUAUGUUCAUGGUUGUGCAAUGUGGGACUUCAUUUAGCUGCUCUGCCAUUCUUACAGGAAUCUGAGUAAGCUGCACCUGAGUUAACUAUCUUUAUCAUUGCUCUAUGAAAUACCUGACUAAAGUUGCUAAGGGAAUGGAAGAAACAUUUGUUUUGGUUUACAUAUUCAAGUGGCUGAAAUCCAUCAUGUCAGCGACAGCCUGGUAGAGCGACACCUAAGUCAGGUUGCUUCUGUAGUCAGGGAACAGACAGAUGGAUGCUGGCAGUCAGAUAGCUUUCUCCUCUCUGUUCAGUCUAGAACCAAGCCCAUGAUGGUACUGCCUAAGGUAGGGUGUGUCUUCCCUAAUCUAGAACCCCUUUUACAGAUGAGCCCAGGGGCCUGUCUCCUAGGUGAUCUUAGAUCCUGCCAAGUUGACAAUCAGUAUUAGCCAUGCCAGGUUAUGUAUAAGAUUGGUGACCCUCAGAGCCCAUUUUCUGACCUCUUUCACUCAAUAGUAGAAGCUAUUCUAUGUGAGUGGUACCACCCUGAUAAAGAAUACAUCCACACAGAUAGAAUAGGUCAAAGAGAAGCUUGGUGAGAAGGAAAGCUGAUGCAACCGAGGUCCACAGUGAGUGUUUCAGAGAAAGCAAGUUCCCAUUUCUUUGAUUAUGAGGAGUCUGAUGUAAUCAGCCAGCUACCACAGGAUGUCUGCUCCUGCUGGGCACGCGGCCAUGGUGACUUUCAGGCUUGGUCACUGCAGUGAGGAAGCUGGAGACUCAGGCAGAUAAGGAUGUGUUCAUGUUGCUUAGCUGUGCAUGGCUUCUCUGCCCCUCUCCAUGGCCCUUUAUGAACACACUGAACAAGUACUGGGAUGCUGGAGACAGUGGCUCAGUGAUAGAGAAUAGACCUUCAUGUCUACUGUAGUGAGAAGAGCCUUUCCACCAUCAGAGACUUUGAGUGAUCAUUAACACCACUCUCAGGGAUCAAUCCACAGUCUUCAACAAAUGUUGUCACCAAAUAUUAACUAUUUUUCUUUAAUAGUUCCUUACCACAUGGCCAAGCAAUUACCCAUUGUCUGUCUGUAUAACCUAAUCACACUUUCUGUUUUGCUAUAGUGUAAGUGUGAAAACUGGUAAUUAUAUCUGCUAUUCACUGUUGGUGAUCCAUUGGAUCAAGGCGUCAGGCUCGAGAAGAAGAAUGGAUUCUGCUGACUCAGUCCAUUGGAGACUAAUGGAGCCCUGCCUAAAGCUGUUAUCACCUGGGGCAAGACAUGACAAGACGACCAAAUUUGGCUAUCAAACAUCUGCCAUGGCUAGAACUGUCCCCAAGACUAGUGGGUAGCCACCUCUGAUCUUCACACAGGCAAAGUCUCCUGUAUCAUCCAAGCACUUCCUAGACGUGUCGUGUUCUUGUGACUUAUUAAUAAUUGGCUGCAACCUUUCCAAUUUUCCCCUCUAAUAGGUUCGCAGUGUUUGUUCCUUAUCUCGUUAUGAGCCCGGUUCUCCCAGGUUUUACAUUACUCGUCUGAGGCCCUCAGGUAAAUUGGAGGAUCACCCGCGUGACGUGAUACUGAUGAGGGAUACUUUUGAGGCAAAUGCCAACCCUGACGGGACCAGAAUGUAUCCAUGUAUCCUGGAAACGUGGUUUAGCUGUCACCAGCCACCUAAUGUGACCACACCAUGCCUGGCUUUCCCUCCGGCACUGAGGAAAAUAUCCCAUGAACAGUGAACAAAUGUUCCCAUGAAGGAGUCACGUGGAGCUGACUCUUACUGAUCUUCUCACUGAGUGGCACCACAUUGGUACAGACAUCUCUUCAGCCUUCCACUUCCUCAGAGGCCACACUCCCUAGCCAUAAGCAUGGUGCAGACUUUAACUGUCAGAAAAUAGUCCAGGCUUCUUCUCCUCCCGGAACUGGUUACACACGCAUAUGCAUCAUUUCUCUUUAGGCACUUAUUCCUGGAGGGAAAAAACACUUAGAAACUUUGACUUAAGUUGUCUAUUUGCAGGUUAUACUGAAAAAAAGGAUGCUGGAUGUGCAGCACGUGUCUCUAGUCCCAGCACUCAGGAGGCAGAGGCAGAAGGAUUUCUAUGAGCUCGAAGCCAGCCUGGUCUUCAAAGGGAGUUCCAGGACAGCUAGGACAACAUAGAGAAACCUAGUCUUGGAAGAAAAACCAAACCAAACAAAAACAAAAAACAAAAAAAACCAAAAAACACCCCCGCCUUUUAAAAUCGUUUAUAUAACAAACAUGAGCUCUGUGCUGUAAAUUUAAUAAAAUUAAUCAAACCAAAA